UACGUAGGUGGCAAGCGUUGUCCGGAUUUAUUGGGUUUAAAGGGUGCGUAGGCGGCUUUGUAAGUCAGUGGUGAAAUAUGGCAGCUCAACUGUCAGGGUGCCAUUGAUACUGCGGAGCUUGAGUACAGAUGAGGUAGGCGGAAUUGACGGUGUAGCGGUGAAAUGCUUAGAUAUCGUCAAGAACACCGAUAGCGAAGGCAGCUUACUGGGCUGUAACUGACGCUGAGGCACGAAAGUGUGGGGAUCAAGCAGG
rnacentral:rRNA from 1 species